AUUGAACGCUGGCGGCAGGCCUAACACAUGCAAGUCGAACGAGUGGCGGACGGGUGAGUAAUGUCUGGGAAACUGCCCGCUGGAGGGGGAUAACUACUGGAAACGGUAGCUAAUAACGCAUACCAUCGGAUGUGCCCAGAUGGGAUUGGCUUGUAGGUGAGGUAACGGCUCACCUAGGCGACGAUCCCUAGCUGGUCAGAGAGGAUGACCAGCAACACUGGAACGGAGAAACGGUCCAGACGCCUACGGGAGGCAGCAGUGGGGAAUAUUGCAAAAUGGGCGAAAGCCCGAUGCAGCCAUGCCGCGUGUAUGAAGAAGGCCUUCGGGUUGUAAAGUACUUUCAGCGGGGAGGCGUUACCCGCAGAAGAAGCACCGGCUAACUCCGUGCCAGCAGCCGCGGUAAUAC
rnacentral:rRNA from 1 species